GCCCUCGUUGAUUAAUGGUAAAUCACUCAUCAGAGAUCCGGAAGUUUUGUACGAUCCAGGGGGAGACGGAGGUUCGACUCCUUCCCAGGGCA